rnacentral:rRNA from 1 species
AACGAACGCUGGCGGCAGGCCUACACAUGCAAGUCGAGCGCGCCCUUCGGGGUGAGCGGCGGACGGGUGAGUAACGCGUGGGAACGUGCCCUUUUCUACGGAAUAGCCUCGGGAAACUGAGAGUAAUACCGUAUACGCCCUUUGGGGGAAAGAUUUAUCGGAAAAGGAUCGGCCCGCGUUGGAUUAGGUAGUUGGUGGGGUAAUGGCCUACCAAGCCGACGAUCCAUAGCUGGUUUGAGAGGAUGAUCAGCCACACUGGGACUGAGACACGGCCCAGACUCCUACGGGAGGCAGCAGUGGGGAAUCUUAGACAAUGGGGGCAACCCUGAUCUAGCCAUGCCGCGUGAGUGAUGAAGGCCUUAGGGUUGUAAAGCUCUUUCAGCUGGGAAGAUAAUGACGGUACCAGCAGAAGAAGCCCCGGCUAACUCCGUG